rnacentral:rRNA from 1 species
UUGAUCCUGCCGGAGGAUACUGCUAUCCGAGUUCGGCUAAGACAUGCGAGUCGAGAGUCUUCGGGACUCGACGAACUGCUCAGUAAUAUGUAGUUAACCUACCCUAUACUCAGGGAUAAUUGCGGGAAACUGCAGCUAACACCUGAUGGGUACUUUGUUCUGGAAUGAUAUUGUAUCGAAAGGUAACGGUAUAGGAUGGGACUACAUUCUAUCAGCCUGUUGGGGGUGUAAAUGACCUCCAAAGCUAUAACGGAUACGGGCCAUGAGAGUGGAUGCCCGGAGAUGGAUUCUGAGACAUAAAUCCAGGUCCUACGGGACGCAGCAGUUACGAAAACUUCGCAAUGCUCUAACGAGUGACGAGGGAACUUGGAGUGUUCAUGUUUUACAUGAACUUUUGUUCACUGAAAAAAGGUGGACGAAUAAGGGGUGGGUAAGACGAGUGCCAGCCGCCGCGGUAAUACUCGCGCCCCAAGUAGUAUCCGCGAUUAGUGGGUUUAAAGCGUCCGUAGCCGGUUUAAUUAGUCCCUAGUGAAAUCCUUUGGUAAACUGAAGGGCUUGCUGGGGAUACUGUUAGACUUGGGAUUGGGAGAGGGUAGAGGUACUCCCGGGGGAGGGGUAAAAUCCUAUAAUCCUGGGGGGACCACCUGUGGCGAAGGCUUCUAUCUAGAACAAGUUCGACGGUGAGGGACGAAAGCUAGGGGAGCGAUUGGGAUUAGAUACCCCAGUAGUCCUAGCUGUAAACAAUGCCCGUUUGGUGUUACAAACCUUUCGUGGGUCUGUAGUGCCGGAGCGUAAGUGUUAAACGGGCCACCUGGGGAGUACGUCCGCAAGGAUGAAACUUAAGCGAAUUGGCGGGGGAGCACACAAGGGGUGGAGGCUGCGGUUCAAUUGGAUUCAACGCCGG